GUGCUCGCUUCAGUGGCACAUAUAUUAAAAUUGGAACGAUACAGAGAAGAUUAGCAUGGCCCCUGCACAAGGAUGACAUGCAAAUUCAUGAAGCAUUCCAUAUUUUG
rnacentral:snRNA from 10 species